rnacentral:rRNA from 1 species
CGCGUAGGUGGUUUGUUAAGUCAGAUGUGAAAUCCCCGGGCUCAACCUGGGAACUGCAUCUGAUACUGGCAAGCUUGAGUCUCGUAGAGGGGGGUAGAAUUCCAGGUGUAGCGGUGAAAUGCGUAGAGAUCUGGAGGAAUACCGGUGGCGAAGGCGGCCCCCUGGACGAAGACUGACGCUCAGGUGCGAAAGCGUGGGGAAGCAAACA